GCCAAAACCUCKGCAAAAUCUUCAAAGUUUCUGCUUCGUGGGAUUUUUGUGAUGAAUGCAAACAAACAGAGGAGUCCUCUGAGAAGAUGGGGAAGAAGAGGAGUCCUCCGCUAAGCCUUUCGAUUGGUGAGAUUUUUCUGGGAUCAAACGAGAAAAACAGAGGGCGGAAUCUUCGAAUGGGGCUUCCCUUCAUCUUCAUUCAAAUCGACCUCUCUUGGUUAUCUCAUCUUGCUGCUCACCUCAUGGUAAUAGUUCUUUCGUUUCUUCCUAAAAAUUUCUUCAAGUGACCAGGAGGGCUCCCUUUGUCUAUUAGGGUGAAAGGUUGAGGAGAAAGGAUUAACUAUUGAAACAACAGAAAGAAUUGACACUUUUGUAAAGAAAAGGGGAUUGCCAUUGGAAACAUUGUCUGAAUUGAAACAAGAUGGCAGCGAGUUUCAAAACAACAGUGGAUCUGUUCUAGCAUUGAAUGAGUUAGAGAUUCUAUUUAAAGCUCUAGAAAAAUCGAAUAGUGUAUAGAAAAAGUGGUUUUUGACUUGAGUCUUGGAAGAGGUCUUCAUUAUUACACUGGAGUUAUUUUUGAAGCUGUGUUCAAAGGUGCUAUGUAGAAGCUGUGGAGCUCUUUUCACAGAUGGAAAGAAGUGGAAUGGAACCUGAUGCAAUUACUAUUGCUAGUGUUCUUCUCGCAUGUGGGGAUCUCUAUGUGUUAGACAGUCAAGUACCUCCCCUGCAAUGAUCAGUAUCAUUAGAUGAGCAAUUUCCCAUCAAUGAGUUCUGGGCCCAUUUCCAGCAGUUCUUCUAAGUGGAUUAUUAUAGAAGACUUUGCAGCUUUGGUGUCACCCGGGACCAUGAAAGAUAGGAUCAGGCUUCUAGCUAGACUUAAUUAUUGUACCUGUAACCAAAACCAGGUUAGAUUCAUUUGCAAUUGCUGAUGGUUCUUGUCCAGAUAGAAUUCUAAGUGAUUGAACUUCAAUUACAACUGCUUUAUGCUCCUUGGGCUUAGUUUGGAAGGAGUACAAAACCUUGUAUUUUGUAUUAUUUUAUAUGUAUUUGCAUUGUACAUAUUUGUAUUUGUAUUCUUUCCAAACCGAGCCUUGAGAUUUGUUUUCAUGCUUGUCUGUAACAAAAAAGGUAAAAGGAAUCCAAAUCCCCAUGAGCACUUGCUGUGUCAGCUAACUUCAUUUUCUUGUGUUGUUUUUGGUUGUUUUGUUCACAUGUUUGCCAUGUAUACUAAUAGAGUUUUGCUAUUGGAGUUUCUCAUAGAUAGAGUUCCAGUUGACAUGAAAAGGCCUCCUAGAGAAGAUGUUCUGGUAUCUUGGGUAUGUUCUUAGCUGUUUGUAUUACCUGCAUUCGUAGUUAGGUUCUCUACUCAGUUUUCUUUCGUGUUUUAAUCAUACUAUUUUAAACCAGGAAUCUAGUAGCAUUCUCAUUUAUUUAGAACAGAAGCAUUCCAUUCAAACAUGCCAAAUGCUAGUGUAGUUUGCAGCCUAAUUGGCCUUGAUGCUAGACAUGUAUAAAGUGUCAAUUCUCGUGUGGGUCAAGACAAUUCUCGAAUGCCUUGUUGCUUAUAUUUAUUACUAUAUUAUAUAUUAUAAUGUGCUCUCUUUCAUUGGUCGCCUAAUUAUUUAUAUUGCAAUUUUAGGUAUUAUCAGUUUCAGAUAUUAACUCAACUCUUUGUCUGCUCUUUGAAGGCUUCCAGGGACUUAAUGAUAUGGGUUUUAUCUCUUUAUUGUAGGAUUUAUUGUGGUUAUCAUCUCAAUGAUUUUGAAAUAUCUUCAAGCCUGUGAAGGCCAGACAAUGGUGGAUAGAGAAAUAGAUGAAGUAAUAGAGAAUGAGACCAGUCCAUUAUUGCUAGAGAAGAGAACUCAAUUUUCUUAUGUGACAGGUGAAGAAGAAGUAGCAGAGAAAGUAAUGCAUGAGUGCUAAAAGAAAGCACAGACAAGUAACUUAGUGCAAAUAAAUAUACUGUAGUAGUUGUGUAAAAACUUAGUAGAAAGAUAUUCUCUAAAGACGUAAGAUGUCUAACUUAUUCAAAAAAUUAAGGGAAGAUAGAGAUUACCUAUGCAGUGGCUGGAAGAAGCUUUUCAGAAGAGUCCCUUACAACAGCAGAGCUACCCGUAGCAAAUAUACAUGGAUGGUUUUUGACAUGGAGAGUUUCAUAUGUAUCUCCUUGGGUGCUACCAUUAAUAGGAAAUUCUAGUGGCCUUUUGAAAACAUAGAAUAGUUACUAGAUGGUUUCAAAUGAUUGUCCUGAAUGGCUGAACCUUGUUGCCUUUUGAAAACUAUUUAUCACUGCUCUAAUUUAAAUUUAAAUGAAUGAUCUUGAGGAUAAAAUUAAAAAGGAAUUACCUUUAAUUUUCUUUCUUUUUUUAUUUCUUCCCUCUUGAAAUUCUUAUUGACAGUACUAUACAAACAUCUUAGGUUUGCUCUAUUUAUUGACAUAUGUUGUGUCUAAUUUACUAAGUGAAUUAAACUUGCAAGUUAUGCUCUUGCAAAGAAUGACUUCCUUUUUGAAAAGGUAUUUGGUUACCUUAGGUUGGUUUGUUUUGCUUUCUAUAUCAGUGUUUUGGAUCCUCUUAAACCCUAUUUUCAUUUAUCAAAAAUAAAUCUUUGAUUUCUACUUUCAAGUACUAUAUAGAUUCAUAGUCAUAGAUGGAAAAUUGAAAUUCUGAUUGGAUGAUCCCUAGGUUCAUUGUUUAGCAUCAUCAAAACUUCAUUUUUGGUAAGCAAUGAUCACAUAUCUGACUGUAACGUAGAACUAAUCGCCUCUCUUUUACCUAUUUUUACACUCUCCUACUUUCAUCUUAAAAUAUGUGGAAAUAAUCUGAUGCUGAGAAUUGGUAUAAAGGCAUUCUUAUCCAACACUCAAGAGGAAAAUCUGCUUUGAUUUUUUGCUCCACCGAAAAAAGGAGCACAAGAAGCUGCACUCAGUCUCUCUCAGUAGUCAUUAAAUCAACACAAUACUUCAACAAGAAGAAAGGCCUUUGUGUAAAAUAUGAUAGGUCCUUGAUACUACAGGUAUGAUCUUCAGAAUUAGUUAAAAUAGAUUUCCUUCCUUGCAUUAGGAAUAUAA